GACAGCCAAUCCAUGAUUCUCUCCCAUCACUGAUGUUUCUCUCUCUCCUCCCCUCUCCCUUCCUCUCUGAAAUCAAUAACAAUAUUUUUUUUAAAAAGAAAAGGGGCAGUCUGGGGAUUAUUAGAUGACUGCUAGUAAAACAAGGAGGGAUAGUGGCUGGUAGAAUAUAACAAUGAGAGGUUUGAAGCCGAGAAUUUUAGGAAGGAGGGAAAGCAAACGGUUUGAAAGCAGCCACGAGCAACAGAGAAGCACAGACCCAUCUCCUGUGAGUGUUACCAGGAAGGUGGGCGAGGACAGCGCCGCACUGGAGAAGCCUGCAGGGUGAGCUAAGCUUCAGCUGGAGCAGAGGAAGCUACACUCAGAGGACAGGCUGAGAAGCAGGGGUCCACCUGAAGCCUGACGAGAAAGGGUCUGAGCGACGGGGAGGAAGCACCUGGGCCCACGCCACCUUUGGGCACAGCAUCACCUUGACUGUUGCGAGCGACCUAAUCUCUGCUUUGCUCCAGUUUCCUGUCUGUACACGGGGAAUAAUCAUGGCAUGUAGCUAGAGUGUCAAUGUAAGAAUUAUAUUCAACAAUACAAGGCAGGCAUCGAGAAAGACCUUAAAACUGUGCACCGAGCACACAGUCUGUAUGUUAGCUAUUGCUACAGGCUGCUUUCUCUUCUGCAUAAUCAUUUUAGAAUCUUUAUUUUCACUUAACAUUUGAGUAACAUUAAAAAGUCUUAGAUGUUCAAUAAGAUUAUGAAAUGUAAGGGGGAGGAUGAUAACAUGUGUUUGUCUGAGUCUCUGCAGGUCAAGGACUGCGGACACCGGAAGCUCAGCAGCAAUCCAUGAGCUCACAGCGUGGUGACCUCUGCAGGAGAUGUCGCUCUGUCCUCCAUCUCCCUCAUCUGUCCUGCAGAUGCCAAGGGAUAUCACUAAUCUUUCUGGAAAACAGGGAUGCAGGGCAAGGAUGAACAGAAAUGGGAGAUAAUCACUCACAGACGUUGGUGCACAAUGUUACCAAAGGCUUUCUGGACAAAUGAGUAGCUUUUCUCAAAGAAAAGGAUUCCAGGACAGAAAGGCUUUUUUAGGGCCAGAAGAAACCGCUGCAGUUGAACAAGAUACACCAAGGCACACAGAGAAUCAAUCCAGACUACAACAAAGAGACCAUCCUACUCUAAUUUCACCACUGCCAGCACUCAAAGCAGAGC